ACGAACGCUGGCGGCAUGCCUAACACAUGCAAGUCGAACGAGACCUUCGGGUCUAGUGGCGCACGGGUGCGUAACGCGUGGGAACCUGCCCUUAGGUUCGGAAUAACUCCCCGAAAGGGGUGCUAAUACCGGAUAAUGUCAUCGGACCAAAGAUUUAUCGCCUUUGGAUGGGCCCGCGUUGGAUUAGCUAGUUGGUAGGGUAAAAGCCUACCAAGGCGACGAUCCAUAGCUGGUCUGAGAGGAUGAUCAGCCACACUGGGACUGAGACACGGCCCAGACUCCUACGGGAGGCAGCAGUGGGGAAUAUUGGACAAUGGGCGAAAGCCUGAUCCAGCAAUGCCGCGUGAGUGAUGAAGGCCUUAGGGUUGUAAAGCUCUUUUACCCGGGAUGAUAAUGACAGUACCGGGAGAAUAAGCUCCGGCUAACUCCGUG
rnacentral:rRNA from 1 species